rnacentral:rRNA from 1 species
CCUACGGGGGGCUGCAGUAAGGAAUAUUGGUCAAUGGACGCAAGUCUGAACCAGCCAUGCCGCGUGGAGGAUGAAGGUCCUCUGGAUUGUAAACUUCUUUUAUUUGGGAAGAAACCCACGAUUUCUAUUGUGGUUGACGGUACCAGAUGAAUAAGCACCGGCUACCUCCGUGCCAGCAGCCGCGGUAAUACGGAGGGUGCAAGAGUCAUCCGGAUUCACUGGGUCUAAAGGGUGCAGAGGCGGGCAGGUAGAAAUCCCCGAGCUUAACUUGGGAACUGCCGUUGAUACUAUCUGUAUUGAAUACUGUGGAGGUAAGCGGAAUAUGUCAUGUAGCGGUGAAAUGCUUAGAUAUGACAUAGAACACCUAUUGCGAAGGCAGCUUGCUACACAGUCAUUGACGCUGAGGCACGAAAGCGUGGGGAUCAAACAGGAUUAGAUACCCGUGUAGUC